rnacentral:rRNA from 1 species
CAGUCGCCGCGGUAAUACGAAGGGGGCUAGCGUUGUUCGGAAUCACUGGGCGUAAAGCGCACGUAGGCGGGUACUUAAGUCAGGGGUGAAAUCCCGGGGCUCAACCUCGGAACUGCCUUUGAUACUGGGUGUCUUGAGUCCGGAAGAGGUGAGUGGAACUGCGAGUGUAGAGGUGAAAUUCGUAGAUAUUCGCAAGAACACCAGUGGCGAAGGCGGCUCACUGGUCCGGAACUGACGCUGAGGUGCGAAAGCGUGGGGAGCAAACAGGAUUAGAUACCCCAGUAGUCCCUGUCUCUUAACA